GACGAACGCUGGCGGCGUGCCUAAUACAUGCAAGUCGAACGCAUUUUCUUUCACCGUAGCUUGCUACACCGAAAGAAAAUGAGUGGCGAACGGGUGAGUAACACGUGGGUAACCUGCCCAUCAGCGGGGGAUAACACUUGGAAACAGGUGCUAAUACCGCAUAAUUCCAUUUACCGCAUGGUAAAUGGAUGAAAGGCGCUUUUGCGUCACUGAUGGAUGGACCCGCGGUGCAUUAGCUAGUUGGUGGGGUAACGGCCUACCAAGGCUGCGAUGCAUAGCCGACCUGAGAGGGUGAUCGGCCACACUGGGACUGAGACACGGCCCAGACUCCUACGGGAGGCAGCAGUAGGGAAUCUUCGGCAAUGGACGCAAGUCUGACCGAGCAACGCCGCGUGAGUGAAGAAGGUUUUCGGAUCGUAAAACUCUGUUGUUAGAGAAGAACAAGGAUGAGAGUGGAAAGUUCAUCCCUUGACGGUAGCUAACCAGAAAGCCACGGCUAACUACGUG
rnacentral:rRNA from 1 species